rnacentral:rRNA from 1 species
GCCGGCAGAUUUGCAAAUCACCAGAUCUGCAAGUGCCAGAGACUCAAAUGCUCGGCCACUGAAGCUAAGCAGGGCUGCCCCUGGUCAGUACCUAGAUGGUAGACCACAUUGGAAAGCUAGGUUGCUGCCGGAA